rnacentral:lncRNA from 10 species
GAAGGCAGGUAUGUUUUUUCAUAGAGGCUCUAGCUUCCCUUUUCUUUGUUGCCGUGUGUGCAGUAAGCAAGCAAGCAACAUGGUGCCAGCCAGGUAGAGAAUCCAGUUGCAUAAAAAAUAUUAGGGUGGAGUAGCCAACUUCUUCAAAUGCUAUGUAAAUGGCACAGCUAGUCCAGCCAAUCCUUUGUGCCCUGUGUAAAUCAGAUACCACCUCCUCAAACUCAUCUAUAAAACCAGCUGCACCUAACCACGAAUAGGGAGAUCUGUUUGGAACGCUGUCCCUCUGCAGGAGGGAUCUUUGAUCUUUUGCCUAUCAAACUUCUGCUCUUAAACUCACUCCUUGUGUGUCCACAUCCUUGAUUUCCUUGGAAUGAAGCAACGAAUCUCUAGUAUUAACCCAGACAAAAGAUGCCGCUUCAGAGGUAUCUUGAUGGAGUACAGAAAUCCAGGGUGGCACCUUAAAGGGAGGAGCAAAGAACGCAGCCUUUGCCACAUCAUUUCCCUGUCAGGAUCAGCUUGGAACCAAAAGGGACUUCUUGUAGACAGGAAUAUCACGGGAAAGCAUGAAGCUGUUAUAAAGUUAAUAUCUGCUAUUCUGGACUCAAGAAGGUCAAUCUGUACCCUCCGUACGUGCCUCCUUUCCUAGCCUUCCCAAGAAGUCUUAAGAAAAAUGGACAUCAACCAGGCUGAAACCUUGGCAUCAUACCUGGCACCUGCUGGAUGCUUAAUAAGUACUUGUGGACUGAGUGACUCUCAUGCCUUACCUCUGCAGUGUAGACAAUAGUACCCAUGCUUGCUACAUCACGGAGGACUUGUUAAGCAUUAUUCAAUUAUGAAUCUUUAGCUAGUCUACAUGUCAUAGAUUCUAAUAUUGAUGUUUUCUACCCUUUAAUAUAAGUGAAUUUUAAUCCAUUUUAUAGUACAUCUUGAAAUUAUAUAUAUAAUUUCCUUAGUGGUACCUAAUGUAUCUUCCAAUCAAUAAUUUUCCUGAUUUAUUGAAAAACGGUAUUAAAUAAAUGUAAUUACAAAACCAACUUACUGGCCAAUUCUACACACUGAUCUAUACACAAAACUCAAAGCCAGCUUCCAUAUUUAGAAAACACAAUUAGUUUGAGUAUUAGGCUUUGGCAAGAAAAUCUAACUGGGCCUUGAAGGUGAAUGUUAACUGAGGAGGAAGAAAUUUGAGAUAAUGGCCAGCAGUAAUUCAUCUUCCCAUAAUUCAUAUUAUGUCCAAAUUUCUUUGGACAUAACACUUUUGGCAUAUGGAUCUAUAGUUCCCGCUCCUAUUAAGAUAGGAAACCUUCCUCCUCUUCUAUUUAUAUUAAAAGCUCUUAUCAGAUAGAACCCAGCUGAGUCAGGGAAGUAGGAAUCACACAUGUGGGGCAUAGUUCUUUUCAUUUGUCUUUAUGUAUUCACUUUAUUUAUUAGAUAUAUGACACCCAGGAGCUCAAAGCAGGACAUCAUCUUUGUAUUCCAAAACAUCCUUAAAUUGGGAGAUGUGUCGCUUCUAGUAGCACCAGUAGAUGAAUAUUAAAUAGAUGAAUGAAUACUUAAGCUUUCAUCCAUUCAUUGGUCCCUAACCCCACCUCAGCACUACUCCCAGUGCUAGCCAAUAGGCUGCAAAAACUUACUCCUCCCCAUCAUCAUAGCUGCUGAGGAGCAUUCAUCAAGAGAAAAAAUAAUUUAAAACCCUAAUAACAUGUAAGCUAAUUUCUCCAAAAGCCAUAUGUAUUUUUUUUAAUAUUCUGAAACUACAUACAUGCUUCCAGGACCACAUAAAAAUUUGAAAAGCUUCAACUAGGGCUAUGCUAAGUAAGAUUAAAACUAAUGUUAAACUUUUGGGCUGUAAAGUUUAAAAUAACAGAUUUUUAAAAAUAGAAUUCAUGCUUUUUAAAAAUUUUUAAAUAAAUACCUUUCCUUAUAUAAUUUAAUGAAAAUAUGGAAACCAUUGAAGACCUAUUGUCCUUGGUCAUAGUUGUUGCAUUUGAUCUUGAAAACAUUAUUUCGACAGCUUGUAUUCAUUUGAGUGUGAUUUGUUCUAAUCAUAGUCUAAUCUUAUUUUGUGCCAUAGACGACAAUGAGCCAUAGUAAUCCAACUAUUGGGUGAUGUUCAAAAAACUGUGCCAGAGGCCAAUGUGUUAAUACAUGUGACUUACUCUGAGGGACCCAGGCACACAUUAACCCUGAACUGCCUGAAAGGUAUUAUAGAUAUCUUACACAUAAAACCUCAAUAUUUACAGUACAUUGCUUCCUUCAAAUAUACUCAGUUGCUGAGCAUAAUUGAUUCUCAAAAUAUAUCGCUGACUUUAAUGGCAUAGAUGUACAUUAGACAACAUUAAACACACACACCCACACACACAUAAUACCAAGACUUUUCUUGGCAUAACACUUAAUGUCAUUAUAUGAAAGAUACAUUAUUAACAUAAACAUGCUAUAUUGCAUGACAUAUAAACUGUUAGAAAAAUAAGUGGAGAGGUGUCUGGAUAUGGUGAAGUGAGGUGAAACCUUAAUUCAUUAAAUGUAAAUAAGCAAAGGCAAAUAAGCAAACAAGAAAAUAUUUACGCACAUAGAUGAGAUGCAUCUAAGCCAUAAAUAAAUGCAUGCAGAGUCAUCUAAUUGAAAAAGAGAUAUAAAAAUUCAUACUGCAGACUACACUUUAUUCAUCAUAUUAGCAUAAUUACAGAAGGCAAAAUUACAAGCAAUUAGCAAUGCAUUGAUAGUACAUAAAUAUUCUAAAUCAGAAAAUAAUUUUGAAUAUAUUGCAUUUAUACAUUGCUUUUCUUUCCUGCAAAUGGAAAAUGAUAUGUUCUUGGGGAUAUAGUCAAUUAUUAGGGAUAUUUAUGCUUAAAGUUAAUAUAUUAGGCUUUAUGAAACUGAUUUUAUUAUAUUCUAAGAUGCACUGUGUUACUUAUCUGUUUUUCAUGUAACAUCACAUGUUCUCUAAGAUAGGUCAAGGCAGGAUUCAGUUACUUAGAGAAGCAACAAUGCCCCAUUCAAUCUUAAUCCACCAAUGAUGCUGCCAGUGUUGCAGGAAAGCAAUGUGUCUAGAUGACUCUGGGUAAGGAGCUCUGAUUCCUUAACAAGUAGAUCAUAGGUGAUGGGAUUAUCUGGGUAGUGCUAUAUUUUCUUAGUCAUCUUAAACACCAACUUGCUAACUAAAGUACCAAGACUAAACACUUCCUUAGGAACAUCUCUGAGAAAGUUUAUGUCAAUAAACUCACAAUCAACAAAGAGAAGUCAAGGAUAGAAGAAGGAAAGAGAAUUGGCAAGAAAAAAAAAGAUGUAAGCAAAAUAAUAGGUUCCAUAAAAAGACUGGAGUAUUAGAUAUAUGUGCAAAUAUUUUCUCUACUUUUUUAAAUGUUCUAUAUACAUUCUUAAAAGAACAAACCACCACCAUCACCAAGGACAAGCAUAAAGCCAAUUUCUUGCUUCUCUCAGAGAUGGCUCCAUCACUUUUUUUGAACAUUCACAUCUGUUGCAGUCUUAAUCAACAGCCAAAGUCAUCUUUGGCUGACAAAGAGAGAUAAUUCAGUAAUUUAAAUACUGGUCUUUGUAUGUUCUACAGUACAUCGGUCAAAUACAUGAAUUGGAAAUUUUUCUUCUAUUACAUAAAAAUCUUCAAAGAGGCUCAAAUAUAUAUUUUCAAGAUUCCUCUUGGUACUAUUUAGCAGUAAUUCAAGGAAAACAAAACAAAGAUAAAAAUGGAUAUAGCUGCUUGUUUCUAGUGUGUCUUCCUCAAACUUGUCAUGAUCAUCCUUUCUUUUCUAUAUAACUCUUCACUUUAAUCUUAGAUGCCUGUCAGUAUUUUCAAGGCCUUGAAGAAUAGUAUUACUAAAAGAUUCAAAAUUUCCACAAGGAAAACAAAAAUGAGAUUCAAAAUUACCAACUAAAUUCUAUAUUCAGAAAUUCCUGGUUUAGAAUUGCUGUGGGCCAAAUCAGUCAACCAACCAACAACAAACUAAGUUUAAAACAAAACAAAAUAAGCUGCUUUCAUGAAAUAUAAAUAUAAAUAUACACUGUAAUAUGGUUUGGUUGUCUCCCCACCCAAAUUUCAUAUUGAAUUGUAGCUCCCACAAUUCCCACAUAUCAUGGGAGGGACCCAGUGGGAGGUAAUUGGAUCAUGGGGGCAGGUCUUUCCUGUGCUGUUCUCAUGAGUGUGAAUAAGUCUCAUGAGAUCUGAUGGUUUUAUAAAGGGGAGUUUCCCUGCACAAGCUCUUAUCUUCCCGGCUGCCACGUAAGAUGUGACUUGCUCCUCCUUGCCUGCAGCCAUGACUGUGAGGCCUCCCCAGCCACGUGGAACUGUGAGUCCAUAAACCGCUUUUUCUUUAUAAAUUAGGCAGUCUCAGGUAUGUCUUUACUAGCAGUGUGAAAACGGACUAAUACGCAUUGUGAGUUCUUUUAUUUUACCCUAUGCUAGUCAUUAAGAACUCAUUGUGCAACAUUUGCAGAAAAUCUGUUAUAUGAGAUCCCUGGAAAAGGAAUUGCCUACUUUUUCUUUACUUUGUCCCUAGAUUUUCCAAACAAAACUUCAAGUUAACCAUUUAGCGGACUUACUAUAUGCUAGGCAGCAAUGGAAGCAUUUUACAAAUAUAAAUUAAUUAAUUUAAUCCUCAUAACAAUCAUGGGAGGUGAUCCCUAUUUGACCGAUGAGGAAACCAAGGCACUAAGAUUUAAGAAAUGUUCCUAAUAUGUUAUACGUAAUGCACUCUAGAGUUAGGAUUCAAGCCAAGGCUGUUUGAGUACUAAGUCCUAAGUGCUAAGUUCUAAGAGCUAAGGGAGUCUUUGUGUGGCUCUAUUAUAUUCCUAACUUUUAUACCUCCUGGAGAAGGUACAACUUGACAUUCCACAAGAUUAAUAUUUGGGGGAACUUUUUUGCUAAUGAUGUAUAACAAAAUUAAAAAUAAAUUUCUGAAGAAUGUAUGUUGACUCUUCCUUCCUCUGCCAGCUACUGUCUCCCCCUGCUC